rnacentral:rRNA from 1 species
UACGAAGGGUCCAAGCGUUAUCCGGAUUUAUUGGGUUUAAAGGGUGCGUAGGCGGCUUAUUAAGUCAGUGGUGAAAGCCUGUAGCUUAACUACAGAACUGCCAUUGAUACUGAUGAGCUUGAAUAUACUUGAGGUUGGCGGAAUGUGUCAUGUAGCGGUGAAAUGCUUAGAUAUGACACAGAACACCGAUUGCGAAGGCAGCUAGCUAAAGUAUGAUUGACGCUGAUGCACGAAAGCGUGGGGAGCAAACAGG